GUAGCAAUUUAUUUUGGUUCCCUAGGGCAAAGAAAAGGACAAAGGUAUCUGUAAAAAAUCAAUUUCAGAAAAUGGGUUUGGAGAAGAGUCUGCAUGUAUCUACUUGCUAAAAGUGAUUGAGAAACAUAUCGAGAAACAGC
rnacentral:lncRNA from 1 species